AAAUUGAAUAUAAAUAUAGGUUUAAUCAUUAUUGAUUAAUUAAAAGGGAACUGGGUGAAAAUCCCAGACUAUCCCGUAGCUGUAUUAGAGGAGUUUUUGUACAAUAUGCCACUUGGUUUCGGGGAAGGCGUACAAAAAUGAAGAUUCUUAAGUCAGAAGACCUGCCUGUAUUUGAUGCCUGAG
rnacentral:ncRNA from 2 species